ensembl:lncRNA
GCACACUGUUCCUUACUUGCUAUUGUUGGCACGUCGCCACUCGGCGGAGUAGGGGUCCAAAGCCGCGAGCGGGCAUGUAUAUAAAAGACGGUCGUCUCACAACACCGGUGCACGUUCUUCUCCACAGGGUUUUCUCUCCCAGCCUAGAGGGUGAUGACUGACAACAUGACACAGCACGACACUGCAGACUUCAAGUAUACACACAGCAAAGAAAAGGACUCGCCCACUACACUCCACACACUCACAGUGAAUUAGGGUCAAAACCACAUAGGACCGGGGAUUAGUUCCUGGACGUUGGGGGCACCGAUGCAGCAGACGGCCAGAGGGAACGUCACAGCCACGACAAGGCACCAGACUCCUUUUUCGCUGGUUCCGGCUCACCCACCAAUCCUAUUACGAUAACCGACAUCCGACACAACUGGCAGCACGAUCUCCUUCCUGCAAUCCUAGCAGAUCUUCAAUGUGUGUUAACUUCACAUCACACAAUGCAUCUGAACACAAUGCUCCAAUAAAGAUAUUCGUAUACUCAGCCCUGUAUGUGUAUCUCUCUUUGCCCAAGCUCCGCACUCCGCAGUACACCAUACACUCUCUCUCCAACUCUCUCCUCCGCUCCGUUGCGCCCACAGUAACUACUGGGAAUCACCA